rnacentral:rRNA from 1 species
UACGGAGGGUGCAAGCGUUAACCGGAUUUACUGGGCGUAAAGCGCGCGCAGGCGGUUUUCUAAGUCUGUUGUGAAAUCCCCGAGCUCAACUUGGGAAUUGCAAUGGAUACUGGCAGGCUGGAGUAUGGUAGAGGAAGGUGGAAUUCCCGGUGUAGCAGUGAAAUGCGUAGAGAUCGGGAGGAACACCAGUGGCGAAGGCGGCCUUCUGGACCAAUACUGACGCUCAUGCACGAAAGCGUGGGGAGCAAACAGG